GGGACUUGACAAUGCGCCCCUUCUGUAGCGCGGGGCCCGCCCUCGCGCGUCGCGCUUCCUCCCCGGCGCUCCCGGCUGCACGUGCUGACCCCGCCGCCGCCCUUGCCAGACAAAGCGGGACCCUCCUGGGAGAAUUUCCUUGGCGCCCCCCUUCACUCGAUGGACCCUUUGAUUUCCUCCCACUCUCGUCUUCAUCCCUCACUCGUCCCACCCCUCACAGCUGCCUCCUGGAGUGCCUUCUCUUUUGUGCUCACCAGCUCAAGUUUGGCCCUCACUUCAGAGCUUUGCCUUAAAAAAAACUCCAUUUGACCUUGCCCCUCCCGCACUCUGUCAUCUCCUUUGCUAACUUAAUGCUUUUGUUAUGAGGGCGACUGCUCUGUCUUACCUUUUCUGUUGUCCGCUGGCUCCCCUACCUAACACAGUUUACUUUCUGUCCUCAGCCUUUUCAAGACUUCCAGAAACCCUCUUGACAUCUCUGCUUCUUUCCCAGUUUCCUUUCUGCCUCUUUCUCUCAAGAGGACUGUGGACAGUGGAAGGGAGAUUGCAAAUGGCUACCCAGAUUAAGCCCCCUUUGUAUCUCGCUGACACCACCCUUUUUUCUGCGACCUGAAAUCGCAUUACUUGGGUACCAUGGGUGAUGCUCUGGUGGGAGUGUGGGAGUUCUGCUGCUGCCGCCGCAAUUACCUGUCUCUUUGAUUGUAAGCUUAAGUAAAGGAAACUUCUGGGAACUGGCCAAAGACCCUUGAAAUGCAACUUGAGGAGUAAACGUCUCUGCUUGGUCACUCUCUGCUUCAGCUCUGCAAACUCAAGCCCAAGGUCAUCCCAGAAUCAAGGUUCUGCUGCCAUCUCCCAGAACCCUAGCUGGGACUGCCUGCCUGAACCUGAAGGGGACCAUCAGAAGCUUUGGGGAGCAUAUUAAAGGCAGAGCUCCGGACGCGCAGGCUCAGCGGCCAUGGCUCACGGG